rnacentral:rRNA from 1 species
UGAGACACGGACCCGACUCCUACGGGAGGCAGCAGUAAGGAAUAUUGGACAAUGCCCGGAAGGGUGAUCCAGCCAUGCCGCGUGCAGGAAGAAGGCCCUAUGGGUUGUAAACUGCUUUUGCAGUGGAGAAAACCCUCUGACGCGAUUGGAGGUUGCUAGUACACUGUGAAUAAGCAUCGGCUAACUUCGUGCCAGCAGCCGCGGUAAGACGAAGGAUGCGAGCGUUAUCCGGAUUUACUGGGUUUAAAGGGUGCGUAGGCGGAUAUAUAAGUCAGUGGUAAAAGGUCGUGGCUUAACCACGGUAUAGCCAUUGAUACUGUAUAUCUUGAGUACACUGGGCGUAUGUGGAAUAUGGCAUGUAGCGGUGAAAUGCAUAGAUAUGCCAUAGAACACCGAUCGUGAAGACAGCGUACGAUGGUGAUACUGACGCUGAGGCACGAAAGCGUGGGGAUCAAACAGGAUUAGAUACCCUGGUAGUCCACGCUGUAAACGAUGAUCACUUGCUGUUGGGCUGUAAUUAAGGUUCAGUGGCAAAGCGAAAGCGAUAAGUGAUCCACCUGGGGAGUACGCCGGCAACGGUGAAACUCAAAGGAAUUGACGGGGGCCCGCACAAGCGGAGGAGCAUGUGGUUUAAUUCGAUGGUACGCGAGGAACCUUACCAGGGCUUGAAAGUUAGGGAAUAACGCUGAAAGGUGUUAGUCCGCGAGGACCCGAAACUAGGUGCUGCAUGGCUGUCGUCAGCUCGUGCCGUGAGGUGUUUGGUUAAGUCCAGCAACGAGCGCAACCCCUACCAUUAGUUGCCAACGGGUAAAGCCGGGGACUCUAGUGGAACUGCUCCGGUAACGGAGAGGAAGGUGGGGAUGACGUCAAGUCAUCACGGCCCUUACGUCCUGGGCUACACACGUGCUACAAUGGCCACUACAGAGGGAACCGAAGCGGUAACGCGGAGGGAAUCGAUAAAAGUGGUCACAGUUCGGAUUGGGGUCUGGAAUUCGACCUCAUGAAGCUGGAUUCGCUAGUAAUCGCGCAUCAGCCACGGCGCGGUGAAUACGUUCCCGGGCCUUGUACACACCGCCCGUCAAGCCAUGAAAGCCGGGGGUAUCUGAAGUCGGUUGCUGCGAGGCGCUGCCUAGGAUAAAACCGGUGAUUGGGGCUAAGUCGUAACAAGGUAGCCGUACCGGAAGGUGCGGCUGGAAUACCU